CCGUCAAUUCCUUUAAGUUUUAGCCUUGCGGCCGUACUCCCCAGGCGGGGAACUUAAUGCGUUAGCUGCGUCACGGAAACCGUGGAAUGGUCCCCACAACUAGUUCCCAACGUUUACGGGGUGGACUACCAGGGUAUCUAAGCCUGUUUGCUCCCCACCCUUUCGCUCCUCAGCGUCAGUUACGGCCCAGAGAUCUGCCUUCGCCAUCGGUGUUCCUCCUGAUAUCUGCGCAUUCCACCGCUACACCAGGAAUUCCAAUCUCCCCUACCGCACUCUAGUCUGCCCGUACCCACUGCAGGCCCGAGGUUGAGCCUCGGGAUUUCACAGCAGACGCGACAAACCGCCUACGAGCUCUUUACGCCCAAUAAUUCCGGAUAACGCUUGCGCCCUACGUAUUACC
rnacentral:misc_RNA from 1 species